rnacentral:rRNA from 1 species
UACGAAGGGGGCUAGCGUUGCUCGGAAUCACUGGGCGUAAAGGGUGCGUAGGCGGGUCUUUAAGUCAGGGGUGAAAUCCCGGAGCUCAACUUCGGAACUGCCCUUGAUACAGCACGUCUUGAGUCCGGAAGAGGUGGGUGGAAUUCCUAGUGUAGAGGUGAAAUUCGUAGAUAUUAGGAAGAACACCGGUGGCGAAGGCGGCCCACUGGUCCGGUACUGACGCUGAGGUGCGAAAGCGUGGGGAGCAAACAGG